rnacentral:rRNA from 1 species
UACAGAGGGGGCAAGCGUUGUUCGGAAUUACUGGGCGUAAAGGGCGCGUAGGCGGCCUUCUAAGUCAGACGUGAAAUCCCCCGGCUUAACCGGGGAACUGCGUCUGAUACUGGAUGGCUUGAGUUCGGGAGAGGGAUGCGGAAUUCCAGGUGUAGCGGUGAAAUGCGUAGAUAUCUGGAGGAACACCGGUGGCGAAGGCGGCAUCCUGGACCGAUACUGACACUGAGGAGCGAAAGCCAGGGGAGCAAACGGG